GACGAACGCUGGCGGCGUGCUUAACACAUGCGAGUCGAACGAUGAAGCCUAGCUUGCUAGGUGGAUUAGUGGCGAACGGGUGAGUAAUACGUGAGUAACCUACCUUUAACUCUGGGAUAAGCCCGGGAAACUGGGUCUAAUACCGGAUACGACCAAUCUCCGCAUGGGGUGUUGGUGGAAAGCGUUAUGUAGUGGUUAUAGAUGGGCUCACGGCCUAUCAGCUUGUUGGUGAGGUAACGGCUCACCAAGGCGACGACGGGUAGCCGGCCUGAGAGGGUGACCGGCCACACUGGGACUGAGACACGGCCCAGACUCCUACGGGAGGCAGCAGUGGGGAAUAUUGCACAAUGGGCGCAAGCCUGAUGCAGCGACGCCGCGUGAGGGAUGACGGCCUUCGGGUUGUAAACCUCUGUUAGCAGGGAAGAAGAGAGAUUGACGGUACCUGCAGAGAAAGCGCCGGCUAACUACGUG
rnacentral:rRNA from 1 species